rnacentral:lncRNA from 1 species
GCCAAAGAUAACCCAAAAAUCCACAUUCUUAAAAGUCUUAUAACUUUUUAUUUUUGUCCUCACUGGCCUCCAAGUUUUCUAGGAUAAUGCAAUGUCCAGCCAUCAACACAUUUGUGAAGGAAUUUUUACUCCCCAAAAGAGCGCCCCCCCCAUGGCAGGAGAAAAAAGUCCAUUUUUUCUUGUCCCCUAAAGUGAAAAUACACAUUGUUGAGUGUGACACCUGUACGCUUUGUCAUAUUGACACAAAAUUUGACAAUCACGUGUAUCUCAAUAAGAUCUACGAAAAAGUCAAUGCGCGCGUAUCUGUCAAAUGUACGGUUAAAGGGCUAUAUUGCAUUUUUUGCUGACUCGCACACAUUGGAAUGUGGCUAACUCCUCCUAAGGCUUUCGUCCCACUGACACCAAAUUUGCUCAGGCCAAUCUACACCCCAUGGCCAUUAAAAGUUGUAAAAAUCAUGACGCUGCACCCCACGGUUUACGUUCUAGGGGGCGCCAAAGAUGACCCAAAAAUCCACAUUCUUAAAAGAAUCCCCCCCCCCAUGGCAGGAGCAAAAGUCAAGUUUUUCCUGCCCAUCGCUCAAUGGCUCAAUCGCAUCGCUCUCCCGGCAACACCAUAAGGAGGAGAAACCUGCCAUUUGGAUAUAUCCUAGCUGUGUUUGUGCCCUCACUCAUGGUCCAGACUUUUUUCAAAUAGGACAUGAAGUUUGUCUGCAGCGAGUGUUUUGGUAGAAACUGCGCCUCCCAUUCAUUAUAAUGGGAAAUGACCACAGACAAGUGCGCACACCAUCUUUGGACCUUGAGUGUGACGCGAUCGGGAGGGGGAGGCGGUUGCGCUGGGGGCGGAGCGACGCGGCUCGGGCCCGACAGUGGCCCACCGGGGCCCUAGUUCUUUGGGGCCCGAGCGUAGCUGCUAAGCAGCUGCGAGAGCCCUCUUGUUCCUGCAUGUUUCCUUCUUUAGGGCCCGAGCGUAGCUGCUAAGCAGCUGCAAGAGCCCUCUUGUUCCUGAUGGAUUCUUCUUUUGUUAUUAGGGCCCGAGCGUAGCUGCUAAGCAGCUGCGAGAGCCCUAUUAUUCCUGAUGGAUUCUUCUUUAGGGCCCGAGCGUAGCUGCUAAGCAGCUGCGAGAGCCCUCUUGUUCCUGCAUGUUUCCUUCUUUCGUUAGGGCCCGAGCGUAGCUGCUAAGCAGCUGCGAGAGCCCUCUUGUUCCUGAUGGAUUCUUCUUUAGGGCCCGAGCGUAGCUGCUAAGCAGCUGCGAGAGCCCUCUUGUUCCUGAUGGAUUCUUCUUUCGUUAUUUUUCCUCCGCUUUAAACUGGAAAAUGGCCCACUUCCCACUGGCGAAAACUCAGGAAAUUCGGCAGGACGACCGGGCCUGGUGAAAAAUUUGAUAUUCUGAAGUCGCCCAAACAAAAAAAUGAAAAAUGGCUCCAUAGCGCCCCCUAUGGUGAAAACUCACCUGACGCCUGUACGCUUUGUCAAAAUGACACAAAAUUUGACACACAUGUGUAUCUCAAUAAGAUCUACAAAAAAGUCAGUGCGGGCGUAUCUGUCAAAUGUACGGUUAAAGGGCUAUUUCGCAUUUUUUGCCGAUCCGCACACAUUGGAAUUUCGCUAACUCCUCCGAAGGCUUUCGUUCCACCGGCACCAAAUUUGCUCAGGCCAAUCUACACCCCAUGGCCAUUCAAAGUUGUACAAAUCAUGACGCUGCACCCCACGGUUUAUGUUCUAGGGGGCGCCAAAGAUAACCCAAAAAUCCACAUUCUUAAAAGUCUUAUAACUUUUUAUUUUUGUCCUCACUGGCCUCCAAGUUUUCUAGGAUGAUGCUAUGUCCAGCCAUCAACACAUGUGUGAAGGAAUUUUUACUCCCCAAAAGAGCGCCCACCCAUGGCAGGAGAAAAAAGUCAAUUUUUUCUUGUCCCCUAAGGUGAAAAUACACAUUGUUGAGUGUCACGCCUGAACUCUUUGUCAUAUUGACACAAAAUUUGACAAUCAUGUGUAUCUCAAUUAGAUCUACGAAAAAGUCAAAGAGCGCGUAUCUGUAUAAUGUACGGUAAAAGGGCUAUUUUGCAUUUUUUGCCGAUCCGCACACAUUGGAAUUUCGCUAACUCCUCCGAAGGCUUUCGUUCCACCGGCACCAAAUUUGCUCAGGCCAAUCUACACCCCAUGGCCAUUACAAGUUGUAAAAAUCAUGACGCUGCACCCCAUGGUUUAGGUUCUAGGGGGCGCCAAAGAUAACCCUAAAAUCCAAAUAUUUAAAAGUCUUAUAACUUUUUAUUUUUGUCCUCACUGGCCUCCAAGUUUUCUAGGAUGAUGCAAUGUCCAGCCAUCAACACAUUUGUGAAGGAAUUUUUACUCCCCAAAAGAGCGCCCCCCCAUGGCAGGAGAAAAAAGUCAAUUUUUUCUUGUCCCCUAAGGUGAAAAUACACAUUGUUGAGUGUCACGCCUGAACUCUUUGUCAUAUUGACACAAAAAUUAACAAUCAUGUGUAUCUCAAUUAGAUCUACGAAAAAGUCAAAGAGCGCGUAUCUGUAUAAUGUACGGUAAAAGGGCUAUUUUGCAUUUUUUGCCGAUUCGCACACAUUGGAAUUUCGCUAACUCCUCCGAAGGCUUUCGUCCCACUGACACCAUAGUUGCUCAGGCCAAUCUACAACCCAUGGCCAUUCAAAGUUGUACAAAUCAUGACGCUGCACCCCACGGUUUAGGUUCUAGGGGGCGCCAAAGAUAACCCAAAAAUCCACAGUCUUAAAAGUCUUAUAACUUUUUAUUUUUGUCCUCACUGGCCUCCAAGUUUUCUAGGAUGAUGCAAUGUCCAGCCAUCAACACAUUUGUGAAGGAAUUUUUACUCCCCAAAAGAGCGCCCCCCCAUGGCAGGAGAAAAAGUCAAGUUUUUCCUGCCCAUCGCUCAAUGGCUCAAACGCAUCGCUCUCUCGGCAAAACCGAAAGGAGGAGCAACUUGCCAUUUGGAUAUAUACUAGCUGUGUUUGUGCCCUCACUCAUGGUCCAGACUUUUUUCAAAAAGGACAUGGAGUUUGUCUGCAGCGAGCGUUUUGGUAGAAACUGCGCCUCCCAUUCAUUAUAAUGGUAAAUGACCACAGACAAGUGCGCACACCAUCUUUGGACCUUGAGUGUGACGCGAUCGGGAGGGGUAGGCGGUCGCACUGGGGGCGGCGCGACACGGCUCGGGCCCGCCAGUGCCCCACCGGGGCCCUAGUUCGUUAUUUUUCCUCCGCUUUAAACUGGAAAAUGGCCCACUUCCCACUGGCGAAAACUCAGGAAAUUUGGCAGGACGACCGGGCCUGCUGAAAAAUUUGAUAUUCUGAAGUCGUCCAAACAAAAAAAUGAAAAAUGGCUCCAUAGCGCCCCCUAAGGUGAAAACUCACCUGAUGCCUGUACGCUUUGUCAAAAUGACACAAAAUUUGACACACAUGUGUAUCUCAAUAAGAUCUACGAAAAAGUCAGUGCGGGCGUAUCUGUCAAAUGUACCGUUAAAGGGCUAUUUCGCUUUUUUUGCCGAUCCGCACACAUUGGAAUUUCGCUAACUCCUCCGAAGGCUUUCGUUCCACCGGCACCAAAUUUGCUCAGGCCAAUCUACAUCCCAUGGCCAUUCAAAGUUGUACAAAUCAUGACGCUGCACCCCACGGUUUAGGUUCUAGGGGGCGCCAAAGAUAACCCAAAAAUCCACAUUCUUAAAAGUCUUAUAACUUUUUAUUUUUGUCCUCACUGGCCUCCAAGUUUUCUAGGAUAAUGCAAUGUCCAGCCAUCAACACAUUUGUGAAGGAAUUUUUACUCCCCAAAAGAGCGCCCCCCCCAUGGCAGGAGAAAAAAGUCCAUUUUUUCUUGUCCCCUAAAGUGAAAAUACACAUUGUUGAGUGUCACGCCUGUACGCUUUGUCAUAUUGACACAAAAUUUGACAAUCAAGUGUAUCUCAAUAAGAUCUACGAAAAAGUCCAGCGCACAUAUCUGUAAAAUGUACGGUUAAAGGGCUAUUUCGCAUUUUUUGCCGAUUCGCACACAUUGGAAUGUAGCUAACUCCUCCUAAGGCUUUCGUCCCACUGACACCAAAUUUUAUCAGGCCAAUCUACACCCCAUGGCCAUUCAAAGUUGUAAAAAUCAUGACGCUGCACCCCACGGUUUACGUUCUAGGGGGCGCCAAAGAUGACCCAAAUAUCCAUAUUCUUAAAAG